AGGGCGUAUGGGGAAUGCCUAGGCACACUCCGGCGAAGAAGGACGCAGCAAACAGCGAAAUGCGACGGGAAGCGGUAAGCACGCAAAGAUCCGUCGAUAUCCGAAUGGGGGAACCCGCAUGGAGUCAAAUCCAUGGAUCACAUGUUGAAUACAUAGACAUGAUGAGGCGAGACGCAGGGAACUGAAACAUCUAAGUACCUGCAGGAAGAGAAAAUAAGAAUGAUUUUCUGAGUAGCGGCGAGCGAAAGGGAAAGAGCCCAAACCGAUCUUAGGAUCGGGGUAGUAGGAUCAUCAAUAAAUCAAACAGAGGAUCAUAGAGGAAUCACAUGGGAAGGUGAGCGAGAGAGGGUGAGAGCCCCGUACUCGAAAUGAGAGACUGGAGAGAGAUGACACCUGAGUAGGGCGGGACACGAGGAAUCCUGUCUGAAUCGGCCGGGACCAUCCGGCAAGGCUAAAUACGAGAGUAGUGACCGAUAGUGAACCAGUACCGUGAGGGAAAGGUGAAAAGAACCCCGGGAGGGGAGUGAAAGAGAACCUGAAACCAUAUGCCUACAAGAAGUCAGAGCCCGUUAAAGGGUGAUGGCGUGCCUUUUGUAGAAUGAACCGGCGAGUUACUGUAUGGAGCGAGGUUAAGCAGGAUAUGCGGAGCCGAAGCGAAAGCGAGUCUUAAGAGGGCGAAAGUUGCAUGCAGUAGACCCGAAACCGGGUGAUCUAGCCAUGACCAGGUUGAAGUUGGGGUAAAACCCGAUGGAGGACCGAACCGACCCCCGUUGAAACGUUGGCGGAUGAGUUGUGGCUAGGGGUGAAAUUCCAAUCGAACUCGGAGAUAGCUGGUUCUCCCCGAAAUAGCUUUAGGGCUAGCGUCGAGGUAAAGUCGUGUGAAGGUAGAGCACUGAAUAUGUGAUGGCCCCAUCUCGGGGUACUGAGCAUAAUCAAACUGCGAAUGUCACGGAAACAUACUCGGCAGUCAGACAGCGGGUGAUAAGGUCCGUUGUCAAGAGGGAAACAGCCCAGACCAUCAGCUAAGGUCCCAAAAUGUAUGCUAAGUGGAAAAGGAUGUGGAGAUGUACAGACAACUAGGAGGUUGGCUCAGAAGCAGCCAUCCUUUAAAGAGUGCGUAACAGCUCACUAGUCGAAUGACUCUGCGCCGAUAAUUUACCGGGGCUAAGCAUACUACCGAAGCUAUGGAUCCUGAGGGAUGGUAGGGGAGCGUUCCAUGAACGGAGAAGCGCGAUCGAGAGGACGCGUGGAGAUCAUGGAAGAGAGAAUGCCGGUGUGAGUAGCGGAACGUGGGUGAGAAUCCCACGCACCGAAAACCCAAGGUUUCCAGAGGAAGGUUCGUCCGCUCUGGGUAAGUCGGGACCUAAGGCGAGGCCGAGAGGCGUAGUCGAUGGACAACAGGUAGAGAUUCCUGUACUCAUAUAUAUGUGAAGGAAUGACGGAGAGAGGAAGCUGCAGCCAGCGGCUGGAAGAGCUGGUGCAAGCGAGAUAUCGGGAUGGCAGGCAAAUCCACCAUCCGAAACGAGAAGGCGUGAAGCGUACGGAAAGCUAAGGCGAGUACGGAAGGCAGUGGAGGAGCUUCCAAGAAAAGUUUCUAACGAAAGUAUAUGUGACCCGUACCGAAAAUGGACACACAUGGGUGAGGAGAGAAUCCUAAGGUGAGCGAGAGAACUAUAGCUAAGGAACUCUGCAAAAUGACUCCGUAACUUAGGGAGAAGGAGUGCUCAUAGAGAUAUGAGCCGCAGUGAAACGGCCCAAGCGACUGUUUACCAAAAACACAGCUCUAUGCUAAGUCGAAAGACGACGUAUAUGGGGUGACGCCUGCCCGGUGCUGGAAGGUUAAGAGGAUGUGUCAGCGCAAGCGAAGCAUUGAAUUGAAGCCCCAGUAAACGGCGGCCGUAACUAUAACGGUCCUAAGGUAGCGAAAUUCCUUGUCAGGUAAGUUCUGACCCGCACGAAAGGCGUAACGAUUUGGGCGCUGUCUCAGCUGUAGACUCGGUGAAGUCUUAGUACCUGUGAAGAUGCAGGUUACCCGCGACUAGACGGAAAGACCCCAUGGAGCUUCACUGCAGGUUGAUAUUGGGAUUUGAUGCAGCAUGUACAGGAUAGGUAGGAGGCAAAGAGAUGGAUACGCCAGUAUUCAAGGAGCCGCUGUUGGGAUACUACCCCUGUUGUAUUGGAUUUCUAACCGGACGACGUAAAGCCGUUGACGGGACAGUGUCAGUCGGGCAGUUUGACUGGGGCGGUCGCCUCCCAAAGAGUAACGGAGGCGCCCAAAGAUACCCUCAGCUUGGAUGGAAACCAAGCGCAGAGUGCAAAGGCAAAAGGGUGUUUGACUGCGAGACCCACAAGUCGAGCAGGGACGAAAGUCGGGCUUAGUGAUCCGGCGGUGCUGAAUGGAAAGGCCGUCGCUCAACGGAUAAAAGCUACCCUGGGGAUAACAGGCUGAUCUCCCCCAAGAGUCCACAUCGACGGGGAGGUU
rnacentral:rRNA from 1 species